ACUGAAAUUCCACUAUUUUUAGCUUCCUAGUUAUGUUCAGAUAAAAUCCAUGUACACAGACUCAAGUUGUCUGGCAAGAUAACAGCACACCUCAAACCGCAGAGACUUCGAAGACCAGCAGUGGAUUGUACCAUGUGCCCAAGAAAAGUCCCCCUAUGAUCCAGAGCUUCCAGUGGCUCAUGAAAGGACCUAAUAUGGUACCUGGAAUGUUGGGUGUGGAUCAGGAUGAAUGAGUGAGGGAAUCAAAAAGAGAAACCCCUAAACCCUUGCACGACGGCUCUGCCUCUGGAGCACGGAGCCCAUAAUCCAAGGAUGUGGGAUGUCUGCAGUAGGAAUCAGCCCUCCCCACACUUGAUCUCCAGGACUGGAGGAUGGGCCCCUGGAGUGCUGGACUUGUUCAGAGGGACUCUUCUGUUGCUGAGAGGGAAACCACCCUCAGGAAUGUUAAUGGAGUCCCACCAUCACAGCCAGAAGACAGCCACCCUUGCCUGGUCACUGUGUUUUGCAUACAAGAGGGUGUGAUGAUGGUUGACCUGUGACAGUGGCUUCUAUUCUCAAGACUCUACUAUGGACAUACUACCAGAACAUGCCACCUUCAGUUACCUGGGGACCUAGUAUUCUGUCACUGGGAUAAGAGCAUGCUAUAUUGUCCUCUGGAUAAGAAUCAUAGGGGUCUUGGAGGGUGAAAUCCUUAGAAUCCAUUUGUACCUCUUGUCCUAGGGAAGAGGCAAGGGGUGGGCUCAGAAGAAGGCAAGUUCAACAUCCCUCAAGUGGGGGAAGCCUGACCUAUGCCUACAGGGAGCUGGUGAGGGACUCUUGGGGAGUCUACUUUCCUCUGCCAGGCCAUAGGCCAGGCAGUGUCCUGUGACCUCCAUCUCAGGCUCUGUGGUUAGCUUUCAGGCCCCAGAUUCAUGAUUGCUCAUCGCCCAAGAAGAUGGGUCUCCUUAUUUCUUUCAGGGAAACCAAGUUACCAGUGAGCCAUGGCUGCUAGGAGACAGAGUUAGGGCUUGAUUGCACGUAGCCUUAGGCCUGGCCUUGUUGGUAGAUACAGCCACCAAAACCAACACUUCCACUGUCUGGCUGGAAUCUUCGUCGUCUGUCCAACUCGGCCCCUUGAAACCAUGAUCACUACCAGCUAGUGUCUUUCAUGGCAAUCCCUAUCAGACACCCAACCAUUCCCUAUCUGGCCGCCAAAAACCCUACUUUUCUCUUGGGUCUUGACAUAACUGGCCCCACAGACAAGCUGCCAUGUUACUACCCUGACUCUACUUCAGUGAACCUCUGUGAGCCUUGUAAGCAAGGAGGAAGGCAAUGGGGACUGCUGAGUAGAAGUGUUUGGGGAGUGGAGAGAGAGCUUGGAGGAGGAGCAGGCAGCAGGAGUCAGAAAGCUGAGGAGAGGAUUUAAUCUGCCACCCCCUUGCAGAGACCCAACUACACAUUGACUUGAAUUCCUAACUCCCAGAGCCCUUUGCUGUGUACUUUAAAAAGCUGUUGUGUUGGUGGGAGUAUGUUACAGUUGCCAUUGAAAACUAGAAUCUUUUUUUUUAAUAAAAUAAAUACCAGCUUCACUA
rnacentral:lncRNA from 1 species